UUUUAUGAGAGUUUGAUCCUGGCUCAGGACGAACGCUGGCGGCGUGCCUAAUACAUGCAAGUCGAACGCUUCUUUUUCCACCGGAGCUUGCUCCACCGGAAAAAGAGGAGUGGCGAACGGGUGAGUAACACGUGGGUAACCUGCCCAUCAGAAGGGGAUAACACUUGGAAACAGGUGCUAAUACCGUAUAACAAUCAAAACCGCAUGGUUUUGAUUUGAAAGGCGCUUUCGGGUGUCGCUGAUGGAUGGACCCGCGGUGCAUUAGCUAGUUGGUGAGGUAACGGCUCACCAAGGCCACGAUGCAUAGCCGACCUGAGAGGGUGA
rnacentral:rRNA from 1 species